GCCGAAAUUUUCAUAAUCUGGUCGAUACAGGCCCUUUUUCAUGCAGAACGAGCAAUCAGUGAGCAUUGACUUCCAAAUCAUUAACACAAUCCAAAAUGAAUCUGAUUGUAUUUUGCAUCACACUCGCAGCGGUCGUAGCUCCGUGCGUUUCCUUGACGUGUCACAGCUGUGGAUACCUGAUUGGUGUUGGUGACUAUGACUGCGAUGACCCGUAUGUCACAAAUACCGACAAUGUUACAUGCGAUGAUAGUUGGUAUUGCAAGGUAAGUAAAAAAUAAAAAUAAAAAAAGGCCUGUGACAUCACAUCGGGGUAUCGCCUAGCCUAGCAUUUUAUCUUGGCAGUAAAGGCAGCUAGUCUGAUAAGUGUUUAAAAAAUUGGAUCUAGAUAUAUAGAUCUAAUCCUAUAAUGCCUAUGUAACUAUGUAAGGGUACCGGUAAUUUGAGCAUGUUGAGGGUGCUGAUUCAUUCGUGGCAACGUGAACGCUAACGAACACUGAUCGAGGCACUGACAAUAAGCCAGUGUUUUUUCAAUUCAAUUUAUUUUUAUUUCAUUUUCAACAGAACAAAGUAAUGUGGUCAAAAUAGUUACAGUGCACUUAUGCAGACAAAAAAAAUUCAGGCAUGUACAGUAUAUGAUAUUUAUCUAAGUAUCUAAGUAAAAGCAAAACAAAGCAGAGUAUUAUAAGCAAAAUAUCAUAACCAUUAUAAAAUAAAUUUCUGAGAAAAUGGAGGGAUCCACUAAAAAGCAUUACUUGUAUUGUGUGGACCCCUCUAAAUAAUUAUUUUAGAAUUGCCUACGAAGACAGACACGAAGGUGACAAAACAGAGAACAGCAGAACAAAAAAAAACGAACAAGAAACAAUAAAAAUGGAAGCACAUACAAGGGAUAUGCAAAUAAAAAGGGAAAAAGAGAUAAAGAAAUAUAAUAGAGCAGGACUUCAACACGCGGAUAAUAAUAAAAAAAAAUAACUUAAGCCCCUUUCACAAUUGACGUACGACCAUUUGCGACCUUUUGGUCGUGCGACAGGCUGCAACAGGCAUCAAUCGCUAGUCAUCUCAUAAGAUCGCACAGAGGCUUUCACAGUUGCAACAGCUGUCGUACAACAAAAACAACCAGUAAACCCCGUUGCACGAGUAAGUCGCAUAUGCUCUUAUUGUGCUCGUGCGAUCACAUGCGAGUGUUGCACGAGGGAUUGCGAGUGGAACGGUCGCAUACAUGCGAAUGAAACGGUGGUGCAAUGUUGUAAGCCGUUGCGAUCGGUCUUGCAACAGUCUUAUGGCCCAUAUCAUUAUCGCAACCAGUCGCAAGACAGGUCUCUGUACAUGUAGGUCGCUUGCAUAUGUGCAAGUGUUGCACGACCUCCAGUCAAGUAAAUGCGACUACUUAGUUGUGCCACCUCUCGCACCAAGUCGUACAACGUUGAACAACACUCGCACGAUGAUCGCCCGACCGAUGGUACGACCCCGGGUACGGCCUGAUGCGAGUGAAUCGAUCGUGUUUGAUCGCGUUCGGAUUUUGAACAUGUUCAAAGUUCAGAUGUGACCAGUCACGACCACCUCGAGUUCGUGCGACCGUCUACAACGACUGCGAGUGCUCGCAAGACACCAAGAGAUCGAUCGUGCAACAACAAGAAAAAACUGUUGCAGGCGGUCGUAAACUGGUCGGACGUCAAUUGUGAAAGGGGCUGAACGGUCGCAUACAUGCGAAUGCAACGGUAGUGGAAUGUAGUAAGCCGUAAUUUCGAUCGGUCUUGCAACAGUCUCAUAUUAUCGCACCCAGUCGCAAGACUGGUCUCUGUAGGUCUCCAGCACAUGUGCAAGUGUUGUACGACCUCCAGUCGACUAAAUGCGACUAUACUUAGUUGUGCCACCUCUCGCACCAAGUCGUACAACGUUG